AUGAACAUCAACACCGAACCUACCCAAUUAGCGUCGGCUGUCGUGCUGGGUGAUAGCGGACGGGGUGAGGAAGAGGCUCCAUUAGUCACUAACGACGUCUCCAUAAAUAAGGAUGAGGAUGACGAUGACACUGAACAGUAUCUCAAUACUGGCGCCUAUGAUGAGUACUCAGGGUUUGAGCGUCAUGAGUCGGUGCCUGAAUUGCCGCGUCCAGAGGCUGAACGUAUUAUAGACGAACUGCCAGUAGGAAAGAAGCAUAGGAAGAGACGGAGGAAAGGCAACAAAGCUGCUCCUAUGAUCCAGCCGCCUCAGCAGCCUCGGGUUCAAGACCGUAUACCUAUCCCCGGUGCGGCAAAAUGGCAUAUCGCCGGUGAACCAAUCCUACCUAAGGCAGCGUUAGAGGCCACACACGACAAUCUAAGGAGGCUUCAUGACAAUGUGUUGUGGAGAGAGAAAAUCCUCAUCGCCAUGGAAAAUCCAGGAUACCCACUCUAUGUGGUUAACGUGCCGCGGCUAAGGUCGUACGUCCACUCAUGCCCCGCGGACAAGUUCUUCCUUCGUUUCGAUUACAUCUUCGACAUGUUUCACUUUAAGAAGCUGGAUUAA
rnacentral:rRNA from 1 species